rnacentral:lncRNA from 1 species
CUCCAGGUAAGUCAUUAUUUAAAUUGUCAUUCAUACUUCUGGUAAAAUGUGUUUCUUGCAUCAUUAAAAUUUGACAUUUUUGCUGUUUGCACCACUCAAAUAAUCUUUUUCUUUUUUCAGAUUGCAGUAAACCUUGAGUGUUUACAGAACAUAUGUGAAGUGGUUUAGGAGCCAUUUGUGUGAAAAGGUAAGUUUGUUUACUUUUUUAUUUUCCUUCAUUAUUUGUUUGUUCUUUCCGUUUAUAUUUUUUUCGCUAACGUACCUUUCAUUUAUUGUUAACUCUGUCCUUAAUUUAAAUGACCUAGUUUGUUGGACUUUAUAAUAUCGCAUGUGUGUAUUGACACUGUCACGUGAUGAGUGUAAAUAUAAACAAUACCACGUGAUUUUGCUAUCAUGUGACGUUUGUAAAUAAAAAC